GAGUUUGAUCCUGGCUCAGAUUGAACGCUGGCGGCAUGCCUUACACAUGCAAGUCGAACGGCAGCACGGGAGCUUGCUCCUGGUGGCGAGUGGCGAACGGGUGAGUAAUGCAUCGGAACGUAUCCUGGAGUGGGGGAUAACGUAGCGAAAGUUACGCUAAUACCGCAUAUUCUGUGAGCAGGAAAGCGGGGGACCUUCGGGCCUCGCGCUCUUGGAGCGGCCGAUGUCGGAUUAGCUAGUUGGUGAGGUAAAGGCUCACCAAGGCGACGAUCCGUAGCAGGUCUGAGAGGAUGAUCUGCCACACUGGAACUGAGACACGGUCCAGACUCCUACGGGAGGCAGCAGUGGGAAUUUUGGACAAUGGGGGCAACCCUGAUCCAGCCAUGCCGCGUGAGUGAAGAAGGCCUCGGUUGUAAG
rnacentral:rRNA from 4 species